rnacentral:tRNA from 1 species
AUGUUAUUAGUAUAAUUUUAUUAUAUCACUUUUCCAAAGUGAAGAUCUAAUAACUUAGAUAUCAUA